rnacentral:rRNA from 1 species
GCCUUUUAGGUUGGUUGGUGUGUGUGAUGCUGGGGACCUGAACUGGUAGUAGCCAAGUGAUGGGGUGACGCAGGAAGGUAGCCGUGCCACGUGAUGGAUAUCGUGGUGUAAGCGUGUGGCCCGUGUUCUAGGUAAAUCCGGAGCACAUAUAGGGUGAGGCGUGAUGCGUACCCGUUUUGGGGAAGUUGGUGAUCCUAUGCUGCCGAGAAAAGCCUCUAGCGAUGUGGAUAUACGGCCCGUACCCGAAACCGACACAGGUAGUCAGGUAGAGAAUACUAAGGCGAUCGGGAGAACUGUGGUUAAGGAACUCGGCAAAAUGCCCCCGUAACUUCGGGAGAAGGGGGGCCAUGACUGGUGACCGACGUGGUUGAGCUGGUUGUGGCCGCAGAGAAUAGAGGGAAGCGACUGUUUACUAAAAACACAGGUCCGUGCGAAGACGGGUAAGUCGAUGUAUACGGACUGACGCCUGCCCGGUGCUGGAAGGUUAAGAGGACCUGUUAGACCCCUUUUGCGGGUCGAAGCGGAGAAUUUAAGCCCCAGUAAACGGCGGUGGUAACUAUAACCAUCCUAAGGUAGCGAAAUUCCUUGUCGGGUAAGUUCCGACCUGCACGAAUGGCGUAACGACUUCCCUGCUGUCUCAACCACAGACCCGGCGAAAUUGCAGUACGAGUAAAGAUGCUCGUUACGCGCGGCAGGACGAAAAGACCCCGGGACCUUCACUAUAGCUUGGUAUUGGUGUUCGGUUCGGUUUGUGUAGGAUAGGUGGGAGACUGUGAUGCCUCAACGCCAGUUGGGGUGGAGUCGUUGUUGAAAUACCACUCUGAUCGUAUUGGACAUCUCAACCUCGGCCCGUGAUCCGGGUUAGGGACAGUGCCUGGUGGGUAGUUUAACUGGGGCGGUUGCCUCCCAAAGAGUAACGGAGGCGCCCAAAGGUUCCCUCAGCCUGGUUGGCAAUCAGGUGUUGAGUGUAAGUGCACAAGGGAGCUUGACUGUGAGACUGACAGGUCGAGCAGGUAGGAAACUAGGGACUAGUGAUCCGGCACCGGCUUGUGGAAGCGGUGUCGCUCAACGGAUAAAAGGUACCCCGGGGAUAACAGGCUGAUCUUCCCCAAGAGUCCAUAUCGACGGGAUGGUUUGGCACCUCGAUGUCGGCUCGUCGCAUCCUGGGGCUGGAGGAGGUCCCAAGGGUUGGGCUGUUCGCCCAUUAAAGCGGCACGCGAGCUGGGUUUAGAACGUCGUGAGACAGUUCGGUCUCUAUCCGCCGCGCGCGUAGAAACUUGAGGAAGGCUGUCCCUAGUACGAGAGGACCGGGAUGGACGUACCUCUGGUGUGCCAGUUGUCCCGCCUGGGGCAUGGCUGGUUGGCUACGUACGGAAGGGAUAACCGCUGAAAGCAUCUAAGCGGGAAGCCUGUUCCAAGAUUAGGUUUCUUUUGAGGUCCCCUAUAGAUGAUGGGGUUGAUAGGCCGGAUCUGGAAGCAUCGUAAGGUGUGGAGGUGACCGGUACUAAUAGACCAAACAUUCAACACA